rnacentral:rRNA from 1 species
UGCGGCAGGCAUAACACUUUACAAGUCGAACGGAUCCUUCGGGAUUAGUGGCGGACGGGUGAGUAGGAACGUGCCCUUUGGUUCGGAACAACUCAGGGAAACUUGAGCUAAUACCGGAUGUGCCCUUCGGGGGAAAGAUUUAUCGCCAUUGGAGCGGCCCGCGUCUGAUUAGCUAGUUGGUGGGGUAAAGGCCCACCAAGGCGACGAUCAGUAGCUGGUCUGAGAGGAUGAUCAGCCACAUUGGGACUGAGACACGGCCCAAACUCCUACGGGAGGCAGCGUGGGGAAUCUUGCCAUGGGCGAAGCCUGACGCACCUGCGGUGAUGAUGAAGUCUAGAUUGUAAUUCUUUCCCGGGACAUAUGACGUCCCGACAAAACCCGCUACUUCGUGCGCGCGCCGUUACACAGCCGUACGUGCUCGAAUUCUGGCGUCACGGACGUCGCGACUGUUACUUGACGUGAAGCCACGCUCCACU